AUACGCUGGCGGCGUGCUUACACANGCAGUCUGAACGAUGAAUCUCACUUGUGGGGGGAUUAGUGGCGAACGGGUGAGUAACACGUGAGUAACUGCCUUAACUCUUGGAUAAGCCUGGAAAACUGGGUCUAUUACGGGAUAUGACUCUCAUCGCAUGGUGGGGGGUGGAAAGCUUUAUUGUGGUUUUGGAUGGACUCGCGGCCUUAUCAGCUUGUUGGUAAGGUAAUGGCUCACCAAGGCNACGAACGGGUUAGCCGGCCUGAGAAGGGUGACCGGCCACACUGGGACUGAGACACGGCCCAGACUUCCUACGGGAGGCAGCAGUGGGGAAUAUUGCACAAUGGGCGAAAGCCUGAUGCAGCGACGCCGCGUUGAGGGCAUGACGGCCUUUCGGGUUGUAAACCUUCUUUUCAGUAGGGAAGAAAGCGAAAGUGACGGUACCUUGCAGAAGAAAGCGCCGGCUAACUACGUGCCAGCAGCCGCGGUAAUACGUAGGGCGCAAGCGUUAUCCGGAAUUAUUGGGCGUAAAGAGCUCGUAGGCGGUUUGUCGCGUCUGCCGUGAAAGUCCGGGGCUCAACUCCGGAUCUGCGGUGGGUACGGGCAGACUAGAGUGAUGUAAGGGGAGAACUGGAAUUCCUGGUGUAGCGGUGAAAUGCGCAGAUAUCAGGAGGAACACCGAUGGCGAAGGCAGGUCUCUGGGCAUUAACUGACGCUGAGGAGCGAAAGCAUGGGGAGCGACACAGGGAUUAG
rnacentral:rRNA from 1 species